GACGAACGCUGGCGGCGUGCUUAACACAUGCAAGUCGAACGGUGAAGCGCCUUCCUUUUUGGUGGGUGUGGAUGAGUGGCGGACGGGUGAGUAACACGUGAGUAACCUGCCCCCUUCUUCUGGAUAACCGCAUGAAAGUGUGGCUAAUACGGGAUAUUCUGGGUCUGUCGCAUGAUGGGUCUGGGAAAGAUAUUGUUUCGGUGGGGGAUGGGCUCGCGGCCUAUCAGCUUGUUGGUGGGGUGAUGGCCUACCAAGGCGGUGACGGGUAGCCGGCCUGAGAGGGUGGACGGUCACACUGGGACUGAGACACGGCCCAGACUCCUACGGGAGGCAGCAGUGGGGAAUAUUGCACAAUGGGCGCAAGCCUGAUGCAGCGACGCCGCGUGAGGGAUGGAGGCCUUCGGGUUGUGAACCUCUUUCGCCAGUGAAGCAGGCCUGCCUCGUUUGUGGGUGGGUUGACGGUAGCUGGAUAAGAAGCGCCGGCUAACUACGUG
rnacentral:rRNA from 1 species